rnacentral:piRNA from 1 species
GACACAAGAAAUGGAUGGGCUGCGGGCGC